rnacentral:rRNA from 1 species
CGCCCAAGGCUGACGGGAAAAUAUCGGCCAUGUCACCUGAUAGUGCGGGGUCGAAAGGGUGGAAAUGGGUGGUAAUGUGUGGAAAUGGAAGCAAAAUUGCGGAGACGCUGGCGGCUUGCGUGUGUGUGCCUAAGGCGAAAUUUCCCUUUCAACACUCGGAAAACCAGUGAAGUGGGGCCUCAUGCCUCCUUCUAAGGCUAAAUAUCGGCUAGAGACUGAUAGCGCACAAGUAGAGUGAUCGAAAGACGGAAAGUACCUUGAAAAAGAGAGUCAAAUAGCACGUGAAAUUGUCAAAAGAGAAGCGCUCGCCGGUAGACAGAACGGCUCGCGCAGGUAAAACAAAAGGUACUGACUGCUAUAGUGUUGUCACCCAAAAGCUGGGCUUAACUAGCAUAGAUGCCUUAUGCCGUCCGAACCAAUAUAAUAGUAUUUCUGCUGAGACUCGGAGUAGUAACAUGGCACUCCAUUGUCGAGAUACUCUGAUGGUUGCCUUUCGGUUUUGCUGGUCCCUUGAUUCUUGCUGCUGGUGCCAUGGCUCUUGCUGCUGCUGUCUUGGCUCUUGCUGCUGCCGCCGCCGGCCUUUUGCGUAUACGUUUAACCGUCAUGUAGACUCUUUCAUUAGGCGACAUGCUAGACAGGUGU